rnacentral:rRNA from 1 species
AGUGAACGCUGGCGGCAGGCCUAACACAUGCAAGUCGAACGGCAGCGCAGCAGUAGUAAUACUGUGGGCGGCGAGUGGCGGACGGGUGAGGAAUACAUCGGAAUCUACCUUGUCGUGGGGGAUAACGUAGGGAAACUUACGCUAAUACCGCAUACGAACUAUGGUUGAAAGCGGCGGACCGCAAGGCGUCGCGCGAUUGGAUGAGCCGAUGUCCGAUUAGCUAGUUGGCGGGGUAAAGGCCCACCAAGGCGACGAUCGGUAGCUGGUCGGAGAGGAUGAUCAGCCACACUGGAACUGAGACACGGUCCAGACUCCUACGGGAGGCAGCAGUGGGGAAUAUUGGACAAUGGGCGCAAGCCUGAUUCAGCCAUGCCGCGUGUGUGAAGAAGGCCUUCGGGUUGUAAAGCACUUUUGUUGGGGAAGAAAAGAUGCCGGUUAAUACCCGGUGUUCAUGACGGUACCCAAAGAAUAAGCACCGGCUAACUUCGUGCCAGCAGCCGCGGUAA